ACGGGAGGCAGCAGUGGGGAAUAUUGCACAAUGGGCGCAAGCCUGAUGCAGCGACGCCGCGUGAGUGAAGAAGUAUUUCGGUAUGUAAAGCUCUAUCAGCAGGGAAGAAAAUGACGGUACCUGACUAAGAAGCCCCGGCUAACUACGUGCCAGCAGCCGCGGUAAUACGUAGGGGGCAAGCGUUAUCCGGAUUUACUGGGUGUAAAGGGAGCGUAGACGGCAAGGCAAGUCUGAUGUGAAAGGCAGGGGCUCAACUCCUGGACUGCAUUGGAAACUGUCUGGCUGGAGUACCGGAGGGGUAAGCGGAAUUCCUAGUGUAGCGGUGAAAUGCGUAGAUAUUAGGAGGAACACCAGUGGCGAAGGCGGCUUACUGGACGGUAACUGACGUUGAGGCUCGAAAGCGUGGGGAGCAAACAGGAUUAGAUACCCUGGUA
rnacentral:rRNA from 1 species